AUAUUAGUCUGUGAGACUCUUCCCAACUCUUCUUUCUUGAUGCAGGCGAUCAAACGUGUAGUCAACCAUGUAAACCAGAGUGAUGAAUCAACCAUGUAAACCAAAACAAAGUAGAAACUGUAAGCCUCCGGAGAGCAGUCUGUGGGAUAAUGAAGCGGUACAUGCAGACGAAACUUCACACUAGAAAGACAGAGAAAACAUUGUGAAAGUAUAGUCACUUGGACUGGG